GCACAGAGAGCUUGCUCUCGGGUGACGAGUGGCGGACGGGUGAGUAAUGUCUGGGAAACUGCCUGAUGGAGGGGGAUAACUACUGGAAACGGUAGCUAAUACCGCAUAACGUCGCAAGACCAAAGAGGGGGACCUUCGGGCCUCUUGCCAUCAGAUGUGCCCAGAUGGGAUUAGCUAGUAGGUGGGGUAACGGCUCACCUAGGCGACGAUCCCUAGCUGGUCUGAGAGGAUGACCAGCCACACUGGAACUGAGACACGGUCCAGACUCCUACGGGAGGCAGCAGUGGGGAAUAUUGCACAAUGGGCGCAAGCCUGAUGCAGCCAUGCCGCGUGUAUGAAGAAGGCCUUCGGGUUGUAAAGUACUUUCAGCGGGGAGGAAGGUGUUGUGGUUAAUAACCGCAGCAAUUGACGUUACCCGCAGAAGAAGCACCGGCUAACUCCGUGCCAGCAGCCGCGGUAAUACGGAGGGGUGCAAGCGUUAAUCGGAAUUACUGGGCGUAAAGCGCACGCAGGCGGUCUGUCAAGUCGGAUGUGAAAUCCCCGGGCUCAACCUGGGAACUGCAUUCGAAACUGGCAGGCUAGAGUCUUGUAGAGGGGGGUAGAAUUCCAGGUGUAGCGGUGAAAUGCGUAGAGAUCUGGAGGAAUACCGGUGGCGAAGGCGGCCCCCCUGGACAAAGACUGACGCUCAGGUGCGAAAGCGUGGGGAGCAAACAGGAUUAGAUACCCUGGUAGUCCACGCCGUAAACGAUGUCGAUUUGGAGGUUGUGCCCUUGAGGCGUGGCUUCCGGAGCUAACGCGUUAAAUCGACCG
rnacentral:rRNA from 1 species